rnacentral:rRNA from 1 species
CCCAGACUCCUACGGGAGGCAGCAGUGGGGAAUAUUGCACAAUGGGGGAAACCCUGAUGCAGCGACGCCGCGUGAGUGAAGAAGUAUCUCGGUAUGUAAAGCUCUCUCAGCAGGGAAGAAAAUGACGGUACCUGACUAAGAAGCCCCGGCUAACUACGUGCCAGCAGCCGCGGUAAUACGUAGGGGGCAAGCGUUAUCCGGAUUCACUGGGUGUAAAGGGAGCGUAGACGGCGACGCAAGUCUGGAGUGAAAGCCCGGGGCCCAACCCCGGGACUGCUCUGGAAACUGUACGGCUGGAGUGCAGGAGAGGUAAGUGGAAUUCCUAGUGUAGCGGUGAAAUGCGUAGAUAUUAGGAGGAACACCAGUGGCGAAGGCGGCUUACUGGACUGUAACUGACGUUGAGGCUCGAAAGCGUGGGGAGCAAACAGGAUUAGAUACCCCCGUAU